rnacentral:rRNA from 1 species
GACGAACGCUGGCGGCGUGCUUAACACAUGCAAGUCGAACGAAGAGCGAUGGAAGCUUGCUUCUAUCAAUCUUAGUGGCGAACGGGUGAGUAACGCGUAAUCAACCUGCCCUUCAGAGGGGGACAACAGUUGGAAACGACUGCUAAUACCGCAUACGAUCUAACCUCGGCAUCGAGGAAAGAUGAAAGGUGGCCUCUAUGUAUAAGCUAUCACUGAAGGAGGGGAUUGCGUCUGAUUAGCUAGUUGGAGGGGUAACGGCCCACCAAGGCGAUGAUCAGUAGCCGGUCUGAGAGGAUGAACGGCCACAUUGGGACUGAGACACGGCCCAGACUCCUACGGGAGGCAGCAGUGGGGAAUCUUCCGCAAUGGACGAAAGUCUGACGGAGCAACGCCGCGUGAGUGAUGACGGCCUUCGGGUUGUAAAGCUCUGUUAAUCGGGACGAAAGGCCUUCUUGCGAAUAGUUAGAAGGAU